rnacentral:rRNA from 1 species
AUUGAACGCUGGCGGCAGGCCUAACACAUGCAAGUCGAGUGGAUGAAGGGAGCUUGCUCCUGGAUUCAGCGGCGGACGGGUGAGUAAUGCCUAGGAAUCUGCCUGGUAGUGGGGGAUAACGUCCGGAAACGGGCGCUAAUACCGCAUACGUCCUGAGGGAGAAAGUGGGGGAUCUUCGGACCUCACGCUAUCAGAUGAGCCUAGGUCGGAUUAGCUAGUUGGUGGGGUAAAGGCCUACCAAGGCGACGAUCCGUAACUGGUCUGAGAGGAUGAUCAGUCACACUGGAACUGAGACACGGUCCAGACUCCUACGGGAGGCAGCAGUGGGGAAUAUUGGACAAUGGGCGAAAGCCUGAUCCAGCCAUGCCGCGUGUGUGAAGAAGGUCUUCGGAUUGUAAAGCACUUUAAGUUGGGAGGAAGGGCAGUAAGUUAAUACCUUGCUGUUUUGACGUUACCAACAGAAUAAGCAUCGGCUAACUUCGUG